UACGGAGGAUGCGAGCGUUAUCCGGAUUUAUUGGGUUUAAAGGGAGCGUAGACGGGUCGUUAAGUCAGCUGUGAAAGUUCGGGGCUCAACCUUGAAAUUGCAGUUGAUACUGGCGUCCUUGAGUACGGUUGAGGCAGGCGGAAUUCGUGGUGUAGCGGUGAAAUGCUUAGAUAUCACGAAGAACCCCGAUUGCGAAGGCAGCCUGCUAAGCCGCGACUGACGUUGAGGCUCGAAAGUGUGGGUAUCAAACAGG
rnacentral:rRNA from 1 species